rnacentral:tRNA from 1 species
GAAAUAUGAAGGUCAAGAAAAAGCUGCUAACUUUCUUCUUUUAAUGGUUAAAUUCCAUUUAUAUUUCU